CCUACGGGAGGCAGCAGUGGGGAAUCUUGCGCAAUGGGCGGAAGCCUGACGCAGCAACGCCGCGUGCGGGAAGAAGGCCUUAGGGUCGUAAACCGCUUUCAGGGGGACGAAGCUUCCGGGGUUAAUAGCCUACGGGGUGACGGUACUCCCAAAAGAAGGUCCGGCUAACUACGUGCCAGCAGCCGCGGUAAUACGUAGGGACCGAGCGUUGUCCGGAAUCAUUGGGCGUAAAGAG
rnacentral:rRNA from 1 species